GGGCCCGCGCGCCCCGGCCGGCGGUCCCAGGGCCGGCCCCGGGGCACGGAGAGAGAACGAGCACCCGGACCAAGGGGCAGGAACGUUCGCUUCAUGGACACCUGGGUGUCCCCGGGCAGGGAGAUACAGCCAUGGAGAGGGCUUCUGCUGCUGGUCGUCGCUCCCAUCCAACAACACACGUCACGGCGUUACUGUAGCUUACCUAUAUAUAUAUAUAUAUAUAUGUGUGUGUAUAUAUAUAUAUAUAUAUAUAUAUUUAUAGACAUACUGGAAUUCCAGAGCAUUCCCAGUGGUCCCUGGAGGUGCUGCUCCAGUCCCACAGCCCUGUGAAGUGCAGAGGUGCCUAACACCAGCUACCCCAGGACUGGGAGGAGCUCCAAGACCUUUUCAGAGAAAGAAGAGAAGCUGUACAUUGCAUAAGAAAAGCAGCAGAUUGAGAAAGCAAAACCAGAAAGAACACCACCACGAGAGAGCUGUACACAACUUAACACUGGCCUAGCUGGAUUACAGUCACUUGU